GAAGGCGAGAGAAAGAGAGCGAGGAAAAAUGGAAGGGGCGAGAAGAAAAUAGCUAUUUCUUUCUCGCCCUUCCCAUUUUUCCUCGCUCUCUUUCUCUCGCCUUC